UUUGAAAAAUUAAAAUUAUUUUUUCCUAUUAUCCCUCGCCCACGCCUUUUCCUUAUGCCUCACUUCAUUAAUGAUUCCCUAACUUUCGCCGUCGACCCUCUCCAUCUCUCUCAGCCUCUCACUGCCUCACCGUCACUCUCACCCUCUCGUCGCCGCGUCAUUAUUUCCCUCGCGUCACACUCACUCUCGCGGCCUUACCCUCACUCUUGUCUCUUAGCCUCACUCUUGUCCGAUCAUCUCUCAGAAACCCUCCAAAGUAACGGGUUACAUUUUGGCGGCGGCGGAGUUGAUUUUCAAAAGCUUGUUCCAAAGAUAACUAAAUAUAGAGUUGUCUUAAGUUUUAGGGCAUAUUUGGCUCCAACAUUUCUACAUAUUAUUUGUUUCUGAUCUUCCUAUUAUUGCAUUUGGAGAGCAACUUAGUGGGAAAAGCAGAUGGAAGCUUGAGCAUAGUAGAAACUUUGGCAUCUACCGCGUUUUGUGGAAUUAUCCACUCAAUUUUUGGUGGCCAACCUUUAUUGCUUUUAGGAGUUGCAGAACAGACAAUUAUAAUGUUCACUUAUCUCUACAAUUUCUGCAAAAACACACCACAAUUGGUUUAUCAUCAAAAUUUUGAUUUUUCUUAUUAAACGAGCUAAUAUUGUUGUGAGCUCUCUGAAAUUUGAUGCAGGAAUUGAAAUGGCAACGAGUUCUUCUAAUGGAAAUCACCAAACAAUACCUGAGCAACCUCCUUUGCCAUCUCCCCUGCAUUUAUCCAAAAAGUUUCAGGUCAAAACAAUAUUUGCCUCUUUUUUAUUUAUUAGUAAUUUUCUUGCCACAUUGUUGUUCUCAUUUAUCAAUAGAAAUUGUGUUAAGCGGAACAAUCAUUUGUCAUAUAUUAUUUAUUUUAUGGUUAAAAAAAAAAAA